rnacentral:lncRNA from 1 species
UGAGUCACUUUACUCAAGAGAUUGCCUAAAUAUAAGCAAACACAUGUCACUUGAACUUAAGAGAUAGUUUCAUUAACCAAGAAGGUUCAAGGACAAGCAUGUGAGACAAUAGAAAGAUUUAUCAAGAUCAAAUCAAUUUCUUAUUUUCAACAUCAAUUUAGCUUAGAUUCUAUUUGCUUAAGAUAAUUAUCAAUAAGGCAUGCUAGCUAAGUUUUGAUCAAAUUGCCUUAAACAAUUGUUUCUAUCAAAAUUCAGAUUAUGAUUUAUUAGAGUUAGAUUGAAGUCUUGCACAAAGGCACAUAAUGAUCACAUAAUCUGGUCUAUUAGGUAUAUGAUAAAAUAAUUAUUCUAUCAUGCUUUUGAUGCUUGUUCCAAAUCACAAAUUGCUUUAUCAUAUUUGUAAUGAAUGUUUUCAAAUAAGGUGGUUAUUUUACAUAGAUCUUCUUUUUAAUGAAAUAACCACAUAGGAGUGUAUUCUACACAUUCAUUUGACAGAAUAUAAAGCUCAUAAGCAAGCAAAUGAUAAUGGUGAUCUUUACUUCUAAUCAUGCAAGAAUUUCAUCAAGAUCUAUUUCAUCUUUUCUUGAUUUAGUCGUUUAGUAGUUAUCAAUUUUCUUCAUUAAGUGCAUUUCUGAAGAACUCAAUUUGGUUCUGAUCAUUAACAAGUUUUCAGAUUGUUAU